rnacentral:rRNA from 1 species
GCGGGGGGGGUGCUAUACAUGCAAGUCGAGCGAACAGAUAAGGAGCUUGCUCCUUUGACGUUAGCGGCGGACGGGUGAGUAACACGUGGAUAACCUACCUAUAAGACUGGGAUAACUUCGGGAAACCGGAGCUAAUACCGGAUAACAUAUUGAACCGCAUGGUUCAAUAGUGAAAGGCGGCUUUGCUGUCACUUAUAGAUGGAUCCGCGCCGUAUUAGCUAGUUGGUAAGGUAACGGCUUACCAAGGCAACGAUACGUAGCCGACCUGAGAGGGUGAUCGGCCACACUGGAACUGAGACACGGUCCAGACUCCUACGGGAGGCAGCAGUAGGGAAUCUUCCGCAAUGGGCGAAAGCCUGACGGAGCAACGCCGCGUGAGUGAUGAAGGUCUUCGGAUCGUAAAACUCUGUUAUCAGGGAAGAACAAAUGUGUAAGUAACUGUGCACAUCUUGACGGUACCUGAUCAGAAAGCCACGGCUAACUACGUGCCAGCAGCCGCGGUAAUACGUAGGUGGCAAGCGUUAUCCGGAAUUAUUGGGCGUAAAGCGCGCGUAGGCGGUUUUUUAAGUCUGAUGUGAAAGCCCACGGCUCAACCGUGGAGGGUCAUUGGAAACUGGAAAACUUGAGUGCAGAAGAGGAAAGUGGAAUUCCAUGUGUAGCGGUGAAAUGCGCAGAGAUAUGGAGGAACACCAGUGGCGAAGGCGACUUUCUGGUCUGUAACUGACGCUGAUGUGCGAAAGCGUGGGGAUCAAACAGGAUUAGAUACCCUGGUAGUCCACGCCGUAAACGAUGAGUGCUAAGUGUUAGGGGGUUUCCGCCCCUUAGUGCUGCAGCUAACGCAUUAAGCACUCCGCCUGGGGAGUACGACCGCAAGGUUGAAACUCAAAGGAUUGACGGGACCCGCACAAGCGGUGGAGCAUGUGGUUUAUCGAGCACGCGAGACUUACAAAUCUGACAUCUUUGACUGCUCUAGAGAUAGAGUCUCCCCUCGGGGGACAAGUGACAGUGUGCAUGUGUCGUCAGCUCGUGUCUGAAUGUCGUUAGUCCGCACGAGCGCACAUAGCUUAGUUGCAUCAUAGGUGGCACUCUAGUGACUGCGUGACAACCGAGAGUCGU